rnacentral:rRNA from 1 species
GACGAACGCUGGCGGCGUGCCUAAUACAUGCAAGUAGGACGCAGUUGCGAACGGGUGAGUAACGCGUAGGUUACUGCCUAUUAGAGGGGGAUAACUAUUGGAAACGAUAGCUAAUACCGCAUACUAGUAGAUGGACCUGCGGUGUAUUAGCUAGUAGGUAGGGUAAUGGGCUACCUAGGCAACGAUACAUAGCCGACCUGGGAGGGUGGUCGGCCAACCCGGGACUGGGGCACGGGCCAGACUCCUACGGGGAGCAACAGUAGGGGAACUUCGGGAAUGGGGGGAACCCUGGCCGAGCAACGCCGCGGGAGUGAAGAAGGGUUUCGGGUCGUAAAGCUCUGUUGUUAAGGGAGCGGUACUUAACCAGAAAGGGACGGCUAACUACGUGCCAGCAGCCGCGGUAAUAC